rnacentral:lncRNA from 10 species
GUUGUACUGGGUGGUGUCGCGUAUCGCCGUACCUCGUGUGAGAUGAAUGGUGUCUCAGAACCAUAGCCCACACCUGUGUUGAUUAGAAUUGAGAGUUUACAUCCUGGUCUCCGGGAUUCUUCUUAGUAACUCCUCUGUCCACACUCCAGGUCCACUUCAGCACCAAAAUGCAUAUACACUGUCAUCUUCGUGCUCUAUCUCGGACCACAGAGACUGAGCGCCUGCUAGUCUAACAUAGAAGCGAGUCACUGAGUGAAGAUUACAGAACUGUAAGGGAGCAGGACCCUGGGCUAGUAUUAUCAGGCCUCUGAGCCCAAGCCACGCCACCGCAUCCCUGGUGACUUGCACGUGUACGCCCAGAUGGCCUGAAGUAACUGAAGAAUCACAAAAGUGAAAAUGCCCUGCCCCGCCUUAACUGAUGACAUUCCACCACAAAAGAAGUGAAAAUGGCCAGUCCUUCCUUAAGUGAUGACAUUACCUUGUGAAAGUCCUUUUCCUGGCUCAAAAAGCUCCCCCACUGAGCACCUUGCGACCCCCACUCCUGCCCACCAGAGAACAAAUCCCCUUUGACUGCAAUUUUCC